UGGUAAGUUCUACGCUAGACUUCGAUCAGUAAACUUGUCUUCGUGUACAAAUCCUACAUCGUUUUGUCGACAUUAGCAGAACACAGGGUGUCCAUGCUGCAAGAUUUGGAACGCAUCAUAGAAAAGAUAAGUGCUAAAAAGAAACGUAAAUAUGUUAAAUCCGUUAUACUGAAUCUCGAGCAUAGUAUCGAGUGUUACGAAGUAGUAACAGAGUUGAAACGAUGUAUAUUUCAAGUAACAAUUUCAGCACAAGAGAAAGCCGAUCAAUUUACAAAUAAAAAUAUUGAUGGCACGUGACCAAAAAUUCACAGGUCAUUAAUGGUAGAACACGACAAAAGCUUUCGAACUUACUGGGGAAUAAAUUGCUAUUAUUUGUGGUGUUGUAUACAUUCUAUAUGUAUAUGUGUAAAUGUUUUGCGAGUCUGAUGACGUAAUGUUAUUUGCAGAAAAAUACAAGGUAGAGGCGAUGGCAUAUAAAAAGGCGGAAACAUAACGCCACGCGGCGCUCUUGACGGGUCAUAUCAGAAGCCGGAAGCUUCAUCUAACAUCGCAACACAAGGGGCUGAAACUCAAUUACCAUUGAGACGCACAGGACUAUGUUUCGCAUGUGGCGAACCGGGUCAUCGGAGAGGAGCAGCUGGAUGUUCAGCAAACAGCUCGACCAAUAAGAAAUGUUUUGAGAGGUACUCUGACGGAGCGAUUAGAGGGCUCGAGCUUGCAUGGGCUUCGAAGAGAUUAGAUGGCGGACAGAAUGGCUAAGUAAAUACUUAGAACAAUCAAGAGCAGACAAUACGGCGAAGAAAAGAAUUCUUCAUGUGCACAUUUCAAAUACUGUGAAGAAAAUGUAGUCGCCAAGCCAGCCUUACAUAUGUCAGUAGUAAUGUACAUGGCUCAAUUGAUGGGUCGAGAAAAUCUAAUAACGUUUUUUACAUCUGUGUUUUACAGUAUUAAAUGGAUCCAUUCUAUUAAUAGUGUACAUGAUCCAAAGAAAGAUUUAACAAACUAUUAUAAGAAGCUUCAAAGCGUGUGUGCUUUAAACCAUCUCACAAGAAAGAUGUAUCAUGUACAUGUGCAUUCAUUAGAGAUGAUACAAACAUUGUGUUUGAUAUAAGGAGAUUCCUCUGUUUCAUUGAUCAUUUUUGGGUUAUGCAUGUACAUGUAUCAUGAAUAUUAACAAAUUAAGUGAGUUUCAUUGUAAUGACAUACAAUUGAAAUCUGAUCACUGUGUUAUUAAUGUACGCCAUUAUAACACUGGCAUGUAUACGAAUGGUUCGGAUAUUAUAAUUGCAAAAUGUACAACUACAACUUCCCAUAUGGCGUUUUAUUAACAAAUAUGUAAUUAGCAAAUUGGUCAGAUGAAUCAAAUGAUUUUUGUUCAAACCAGUUAUUGGUUAUAUAUAUGUAAUUAUUUAGACUAGCUAAUGCCGAGGGCGUGUUUUAGAGAUGUUUGAAGCGACAUGGUCGAUGGAAGUCUGAUAGGGCUAAAGAUGAGUACAUUGAUGAUUCUCUAGACAAAAAAGCUUUUUAUCACUAGACAAUUGAAAUUAUAAUUGAUUUGCGGUUCGAAUUUAAAACCUUACUAACCUUUGUUUUUGUUCUAUCGCAAGCCUUGUCCAAUGCAAAACGUGUUGUGUUUUGUGCUUAGUUGUGUGAAGACGAUAUAAUUUCAACUCUUAAACGACGACACUGUUCUAAUUUAUAAGGCAAGUGUAUGUUUUAUAAUGGUGAGUCGUAGUAAAUUUUCAGAAAAAAAGAAAUUCAGGUCAAAACAACAUGUUAAGGCCGGCGCUUUUAAUCUGUAGAAAUGCAUUUAACUAAAGAUCAGGAAGCUGACUAUUUUAGCUAUAUAUUGGGUAAUAUUUAAUGUUAAACAAUGGUCAAAAACGGGUUCCAUUACUACUGCCGCAAAAUCAAUACUUCAAAAUCUCACUUCAAAAUAUAAAUAAAUUAAACGAAAAAAGCAUAUGCCAAUUAUUCCAUAUGAAGCCGCAAAUCUUUCUAGUUUGUGUGUUGUUUGUUUGUUUUGUUGUUGUUGUUGUAGUUGUAAAGUGUUUUUUAUGUGUCCGUUUUCAUAUAAAAUCUAUUUAUCGACACAUAACACACCCGCAGUAAUUAAAUACCUUUACUGUGUUGUGCUGCUACUGCAUGCGUUGCGGUCAUUCGGUAUUUGAAAUCAUGACAUUGGUCCCGUUAACUGUACGCUUUUUUUUUCAAUAGGAUUACCAUACGGUCUGUCAAUCGUAUGCUUGAAACAUUAGUGUUUAGUUGUUUACUAUUUGUUUAAAGUUUGUUGUAAACAUUACAAAAAUGAA